rnacentral:lncRNA from 1 species
GGCCUUAGGACGGUAUAAGCAACCAGCCUCAUCCUCAUUCGUGUGCUAAGUGUGGUUAAGACUAUUUUAGGGAGUGCUAUAUGGGACAGCAGGGCUGUUUUGGUUGUGGAAAGUUGGACUACAUACUUAGAGACUACCCAAGUACCAGACAACAGAGUCGUGAUGCCCAUCCCCAAAGUCAGGCUACCAGUGCCCCUCCUCCCGCCGC